UUGAUGAAGAUGAUGCUGUUGAUGAAGAUGAUCGGGAUUCCCAGCCCAUACCCAUUACUGAGCAUCUGGGAGAUGCUGAGGGUGUGUCUGCAGGGAGGACUUCUCCUGCUCCUUUGCUGAUCCCUACACAGAAGCCUGGCUCCCAUCGCAGGGGUCCCCUGAGAAUGGAGAACAAACUUAGAGGAGACACUAAGUCCUGGAGGCAUCCAAACACAUGGAGGAGAUGCCGAGUGAUCUGGAGAGACGCC